rnacentral:rRNA from 1 species
GAUGAACGCUGGCGGCGUGCCUAAUACAUGCAAGUCGAGCGAACAGACGAGGAGCUUGCUCCUCUGACGUUAGCGGCGGACGGGUGAGUAACACGUGGAUAACCGACCUAUAAGACUGGGAUAACUUCGGGAAACCGGAGCUAAUACCGGAUAAUAUAGUGAACCGCAUGGUUCAAUAGUGAAAGACGGUUUUGCUGUCACUUAUAGAUGGAUCCGCGCCGCAUUAGCUAGUUGGUAAGGUAACGGCUUACCAAGGCAACGAUGCGUAGCCGACCUGAGAGGGUGAUCGGCCAACAUGGAACUGAGAAACGGUCCAGACUCCUAAGGGAGGACGCAGUAGGGAAUCUUCCGCAAUGGGCGAAAGCUUGACGGCGCACCGCCGGGUGAGUGAUGAAGGUCUUCGGAUCGUAAAACUAUGUUAUUAGGGAAGAACAAAUGUGUAAGUAACUAUGCACGUCUUGACGGUACCUAAUCAGAAAGCCACGGCUAACUACGUG